rnacentral:rRNA from 1 species
GAAAUGCAUGAGUGUACCCUGCUGUUGCGGCGUCUUCAGUGUGAUAAGCAUCCUCACUGGACAAAGUUCCCUUCUUGAGACACGCACSWGCGAUGGGCUCUACGCUUCCAACCGUCCCGCUUGCUGGACAAUCUUUGACAACUUGACCUCAAAUCGGGUGGGACUACCCGCUGAACUUAAGCAUAUCAAUAAGCGGAGGAAAAGAAACUAACAAGGAUUCCCCUAGUAACGGCGAGUGAAGAGGGAAAAGCUCAAAUUUUGAAUCUGGUGUCUUUGGCGCCCGAGUUGUAAUCUAGAGAAGUGUUUUCUGCCUCGGACCACACAUAAAUUCCCUGGAAUGGGGUGUCAUAGAGGGUGAGAAUCCCGUUUGUGGUGUGGACUACCUUGGCUCUGUGAUACACUCUCAACGAGUCGAGUUGUUUGGGAAUGCAGCUCAAAAUGGGUGGUAAAUUCCAUCUAAAGCUAAAUAUUGGCGAGAGACCGAUAGCGAACAAGUACCGUGAGGGAAAGAUGAAAAGCACUUUGGAAAGAGAGUGAAACAGUACGUGAAAUUGUUGGAAGGGAAGCGUUUGAAGUCAGUCACAUCUGUUGGGACUCAGCCUGGCUUUUGCCCGGCGUACUUCCCGGCGGAUGGGUCAGCGUCAGUUUUGACC